AUUGAACGCUGGCGGCAGGCCUAACACAUGCAAGUCGAGCGGAUGACGGGAGCUUGCUCCUUGAUUCAGCGGCGGACGGGUGAGUAAUGCCUAGGAAUCUGCCUGGUAGUGGGGGACAACGUUUCGAAAGGAACGCUAAUACCGCAUACGUCCUACGGGAGAAAGCAGGAGACCUUCGGGCCUUGCGCUAUUACAUGAGCCUAGGUCGGAUUAGCUAGUAGGUGAGGUAAUGGCUCACCUAGGCGACGAUCCGUAACUGGUCUGAGAGGAUGAUCAGUCACACUGGAACUGAGACACGGUCCAGACUCCUACGGGAGGCAGCAGUGGGGAAUAUUGGACAAUGGGCGAAAGCCUGAUCCAGCCAUGCCGCGUGUGUGAAGAAGGUCUUCGGAUUGUAAAGCACUUUAAGUUGGGAGGAAGGGCAGUAAGUUAAUACCUUGCUGUUUUGACGUUACCGACAGAAUAAGCACCGGCUAACUCUGUGCCAGCCGCCGCCGUAAAAC
rnacentral:rRNA from 1 species